GUCCAGACUCCUACGGGAGGCAGCAGUUAGGAAUAUUCGUCAAUGGGGGAAACCCUGAACGAGCAAUGCCGCGUGAGUGAUGACGGUCUUUAUGAUUGUAAAACUCUGUUGUUAGGGAAGAAACCUUACUAUAGGAAAUGAUAGUAAGCUGACGGUACCUAACCAGAAAGCCCCGGCUAACUACGUGCCAGCAGCCGCGGUAAUACGUAGGGGGCGAGCGUUAUCCGGAUUUAUUGGGCGUAAAGCGUGUGUAGGCGGUUUGUUAAGUAUAAGAUAAAAGCCUGGGGCUCAACCUCAGUUCGUCUUAUAAACUGGCAGGCUUGAGUGUGGUAGAGGCAAGUGGAAUUUCUAGUGUAGCGGUUAAAUGCGUAGAUAUUAGAAGGAACACCAGUGGCGAAGGCGGCUUGCUGGGCCAUUACUGACGCUGAGACACGAAAGCGUGGGGAGCAAAUAGGAUUAGAUACCCUUGUAU
rnacentral:rRNA from 1 species